UUAAGUUAGAAAGGGCGCACGGUGGAUGCCUUGACACUAGGAGUCGAUGAAGGACGGGACUAACGCCGAUAUGCUUCGGGGAGCUGUAAGUAAGCUUUGAUCCGAAGAUUUCCGAAUGGGGAAACCCACCAUACGUAAUGGUAUGGUAUCCUUACCUGAAUACAUAGGGUAAGGAAGACAGACCCAGGGAACUGAAACAUCUAAGUACCUGGAGGAAGAGAAAGCAAAUGCGAUUUCCUGAGUAGCGGCGAGCGAAACGGAACAUAGCCCAAACCAAGAGGCUUGCCUCUUGGGGUUGUAGGACAUUCUAUACGGAGUUACAAAGGAACGAGGUAGACGAAGCGACCUGGAAAGGUCCGUCGUAGAGGGUAACAACCCCGUAGUCGAAACUUCGUUCUCUCUUGAAUGUAUCCUGAGUACGGCGGAACACGUGAAAUUCCGUCGGAAUCUGGGAGGACCAUCUCCCAAGGCUAAAUACUCCCUAGUGAUCGAUAGUGAACCAGUACCGUGAGGGAAAGGUGAAAAGCACCCCGGAAGGGGAGUGAAAGAGAUCCUGAAACCGUGUGCCUACAAAUAGUCAGAGCCCGUUAACGGGUGAUGGCGUGCCUUUUGUAGAAUGAACCGGCGAGUUACGAUCCCGUGCGAGGUUAAGCUGAAGAGGCGGAGCCGCAGCGAAAGCGAGUCUGAAUAGGGCGUUUAGUACGUGGUCGUAGACCCGAAACCAGGUGAUCUACCCAUGUCCAGGGUGAAGUUCAGGUAACACUGAAUGGAGGCCCGAACCCACGCACGUUGAAAAGUGCGGGGAUGAGGUGUGGGUAGCGGAGAAAUUCCAAUCGAACCUGGAGAUAGCUGGUUCUCCCCGAAAUAGCUUUAGGGCUAGCCUUAAGUGUAAGAGUCUUGGAGGUAGAGCACUGAUUGGACUAGGGGUCCUCAUCGGAUUACCGAAUUCAGUCAAACUCCGAAUGCCAAUGACUUAUCCUUAGGAGUCAGACUGCGAGUGAUAAGAUCCGUAGUCAAAAGGGAACAGCCCAGACCGCCAGCUAAGGUCCCAAAGUGUGUAUUAAGUGGAAAAGGAUGUGGAGUUGCUUAGACAACUAGGAUGUUGGCUUAGAAGCAGCCACCAUUUAAAGAGUGCGUAAUAGCUCACUAGUCGAGUGACUCUGCGCCGAAAAUGUACCGGGGCUAAAUACACCACCGAAGCUGCGGAUUGAUACCAAUGGUAUCAGUGGUAGGGGAGCGUUCUAAGGACAGUGAAGUCAGACCGGAAGGACUGGUGGAGUGCUUAGAAGUGAGAAUGCCGGUAUGAGUAGCGAAAGACGGGUGAGAAUCCCGUCCACCGAAUGCCUAAGGUUUCCUGAGGAAGGCUCGUCCGCUCAGGGUUAGUCAGGACCUAAGCCGAGGCCGACAGGCGUAGGCGAUGGACAACAGGUUGAUAUUCCUGUACCACCUCUUUAUCGUUUGAGCAAUGGAGGGACGCAGAAGGAUAGAAGAAGCGUGCGAUUGGUUGUGCACGUCCAAGCAGUUAGGCUGAUAAGUAGGCAAAUCCGCUUAUCGUAAAGGCUGAGCUGUGAUGGGGAAGCUCCUUAUGGAGCGAAGUCUUUGAUUCCCCGCUGCCAAGAAAAGCUUCUAGCGAGAUAAAAGGUGCCUGUACCGCAAACCGACACAGGUAGGCGAGGAGAGAAUCCUAAGGUGUGCGAGAGAACUCUGGUUAAGGAACUCGGCAAAAUGACCCCGUAACUUCGGGAGAAGGGGUGCUUUCUUAACGGAAAGCCGCAGUGAAUAGGCCCAAGCGACUGUUUAGCAAAAACACAGCUCUCUGCGAAGCCGUAAGGCGAAGUAUAGGGGGUGACACCUGCCCGGUGCUGGAAGGUUAAGGAGAGGGGUUAGCGUAAGCGAAGCUCUGAACUGAAGCCCCAGUAAACGGCGGCCGUAACUAUAACGGUCCUAAGGUAGCGAAAUUCCUUGUCGGGUAAGUUCCGACCCGCACGAAAGGUGUAACGAUUUGGGCACUGUCUCAACCAGAGACUCGGUGAAAUUAUAGUACCUGUGAAGAUGCAGGUUACCCGCGACAGGACGGAAAGACCCCGUGGAGCUUUACUGUAGCCUGAUAUUGAAUUUUGGUACAGUUUGUACAGGAUAGGCGGGAGCCUUUGAAACCGGAGCGCUAGCUUCGGUGGAGGCGCUGGUGGGAUACCGCCCUGACUGUAUUGAAAUUCUAACCUACGGGUCUUAUCGACCCGGGAGACAGUGUCAGGUGGGCAGUUUGACUGGGGCGGUCGCCUCCUAAAGUGUAACGGAGGCGCCCAAAGGUUCCCUCAGAAUGGUUGGAAAUCAUUCGUAGAGUGCAAAGGCAUAAGGGAGCUUGACUGCGAGACCUACAAGUCGAGCAGGGACGAAAGUCGGGCUUAGUGAUCCGGUGGUUCCGCAUGGAAGGGCCAUCGCUCAACGGAUAAAAGCUACCCCGGGGAUAACAGGCUUAUCUCCCCCCAAGAGUCCACAUCGACGGGGAGGUUUGGCACCUCGAUGUCGGCUCAUCGCAUCCUGGGGCUGUAGUCGGUCCCAAGGGUUGGGCUGUUCGCCCAUUAAAGCGGUACGCGAGCUGGGUUCAGAACGUCGUGAGACAGUUCGGUCCCUAUCCGUCGUGGGCGUAGGAAAUUUGAGAGGAGCUGUCCUUAGUACGAGAGGACCGGGAUGGACGCACCGCUGGUGUACCAGUUGUUCUGCCAAGGGCAUAGCUGGGUAGCUAUGUGCGGAAGGGAUAAGUGCUGAAAGCAUCUAAGCAUGAAGCCCCCCUCAAGAUGAGAUUUCCCAUAGCGUAAGCUAGUAAGAUCCCUGAAAGAUGAUCAGGUUGAUAGGUUCGAGGUGGAAGCAUGGUGACAUGUGGAGCUGACGAAUACUAAUAGAUCGAGGACUUAACCAU
rnacentral:rRNA from 1 species